GGCCCGUUCGUCUAAUGAUUAGGACGCCAGGUUCUCAUCCUGGCAAAAGGGGUUUGAUUCCCCUACGGGCUA
rnacentral:tRNA from 1 species